rnacentral:rRNA from 1 species
CGUAGGAACCUGCCAUACAGUGGGGGAUAACGCUGGGAAACCGGUGCUAAUACCGCAUGAGGUUGCCACUCGAGAGAGUGGUAAAGAAAGCAGCAAUGCGCUGUAUGAGGGGCCUGCGGCCGAUUAGCUUGUUGGUGGGGUAAGGGCCUACCAAGGCGACGAUCGGUAGCUGGUCUGAGAGGAUGGUCAGCCACACUGGGACUGAGACACGGCCCAG